UCCGAAUUGGUGUAGUGGCUAACAUUUGACGCUCUCAGCUGUAUUCUAUGAUAUAGAACAGUGCCGUCAAGCCCGGGGUUCGAUUCCCCGAUUCGGAG